AGGGACCAGCCUGAGAGAAGAGCUACCAUAUUGGCAGAAGUAAUUGACCCUGAUCAGCAGGAGAAGGCAUUUCCCCUAGUUUCUUGCAAGUCUAGUCUGAUCUUGGUGUCUACUUCUUGGACCUGAACUGACACAGAACCUUGUGACAUGGGCAGCAGUACCACAGAUGUUUGUAUUUGUCUUCUGGGAAG